UGGGGAAUUUUGGACAAUGGGCGAAAGCCUGAUCCAGCAAUGCCGCGUGUGUGAAGAAGGCCUUCGGGUUGUAAAGCACUUUUGUCCGGAAAGAAAUCCUUGGCUCUAAUACAGUCGGGGGAUGACGGUACCGGAAGAAUAAGCACCGGCUAACUACGUGCCAGCAGCCGCGGUAAUACGUAGGGUGCAAGCGUUAAUCGGAAUUACUGGGCGUAAAGCGUGCGCAGGCGGUUUGCUAAGACCGAUGUGAAAUCCCCGGGCUCAACCUGGGAACUGCAUUGGUGACUGGCAGGCUAGAGUAUGGCAGAGGGGGGUAGAAUUCCACGUGUAGCAGUGAAAUGCGUAGAGAUGUGGAGGAAUACCGAUGGCGAAGGCAGCCCCCUGGGCAAGUACUGACGCUCAUGCACGAAAAGCGUGGGGGAGCAAACNGGAUUAAUNCCCUGGUAGUCCACGCCCUAAANGAUGUCAACUAGUUGUUGGGGAUUCAUUUCCUUAGUAACGUAGCUAACGCGUGAAGUUGACCGCCUGGGGAGUACGUCGCAAGAUUAAAAUCAAAGAAUUGACGGGGUCA
rnacentral:rRNA from 1 species